rnacentral:lncRNA from 1 species
ACGAUGUCUUCUGUGAAGUUUUGAUCUAAUUCCCAUAGAGACGAAGGAAGGAUGCCGGGAAUGUUUCAAGAUAGUGCUGUGCUGAUCUAUGUGAACGUGUGGACCCAUGCUGUUGAUAGAAUUAACUGGUAUAGUUCUCCAUCUGAAAGUCAGGCUUUUUCGAAUGCAGACAUAAAGGAGGUCAGCUGAUUUGAGGGACAAGACGGAAGAAGAAAAUUGGUGACAGGGGAUGAAAGACAGUGUACUUACAAAGUUUGCUGGUGGCACCAAGCUGGAGGGCCUGCAAGGACUGUGGCAGGUAGGUUCAAGUCUCAGAGGAGUCUUCACAGAUCAGAGGGAUGUUCCAGAACUGACAAGAUGAGCUUUGGCUGAGGCCUAGAAAAGAACAGUCCACAGCAUCUAUGCCCACAAAUGUGGCAGGAGAGGCUCACAGUGUAAACAGGAAUCAUCAGUAUGUCCUACUGGGUAGAGACCAAAGGCUGUUUCUAGCUGAUCUCAUUAGUUCUGCUGACAUGAUUAGGAAGAUAGCUAUGCAAUGACACAAUUACCAUCAAAAACAUGAUGCUUAGAGCCACCAUGCGAGAGAAACUGGUGAGUUACUAGCUGCCAGAUACUGUAUCAGUCGCAAAAAACAAGCAGCUUCUCCAGAACAAAUCCCACUACCCUGAAGAUCUUGCUAUUUUAAGCUCAGGUCCUAGUCCUUGCUUAUUCUCAGUAAUGUAUACUCAGGUGAACAGCUUAACUGGAAUCACAGGGACUGUGAAGUGCUGUUGAACAUGAACAAAACUUGAUGAAUGUAGCCUGAGGUGAGGAGUUUGCUGACUAAAUAAUGGCUUAAAUUACAUAGGACACCAUGGCAUUCUUUCUAUAGUGCAUGACACUACCAGUGAGGUCACAUCCACAACUCCAGCCCUUUUUCUAGCCAAGAAUUGUCUACUUUGGACAGGUUUUUCCAAAGUUUGAAGAGCCGUGAAAAAAAAUCACCGUUCCCAUCUUACACAAGCUUUUGUGUGGAGUGCUUUUGUUGCUGGCAAAACGCAGGACGUUCAUUCCUACUCACCUGGUACAUUUUUAAGCAUGACUCAAUAUAAAAA